rnacentral:tRNA from 1 species
GGCCUCGUAGCAUAACUGAAUAGUGCAUCAGAUUACGGCUCUGAAGGUUGCAGGUUUGAAUCCUGCCGAGGUCA